UGCAGAACAAUGGCUCUCACUGUCUACUCUGGCCCAGGUGCAGAUGAGGCCCCUUGAGUACUUUGCUCCUCUCUCUGAAAACCUAGAUCCAGUAGGAGGCCAUAGGAAAGUUUGGCUUUACAGAAAUGUGGAAAGUUUCCCUUCCAAGAGCACUGGAGCAAGCAGGCACCACACAGAGAUGAAGCAGGUGAGCAUAAUAUAAAUAGGAGCACCCUUGUGAAUGUAGCAUUCCAGCCCCUCACACAAUCUUCAACAAUUAAGGAAUGGGAAGAAGUAUGUAGAGUAUGAAUUGAGCCAUACCAAGAAUAAGUGACUUACCCAAGGUCACACACCAAUAGCUGGUGGAACUGGAACUUGCUCCAUAUUUUUCAGAUUCUAAAUUCAUUUACUCCAGCAUUCAACAAUCACUAAAGAAUGCAGGGUUGGCACUGUGCUGUCUUUUGGAAUAUAAGAAACAAUAGGACACAGUCCCUGCCUUGGUAAAGCUUACAGUCUAGGGUGGGGAAGAUAGUCAAGUAAACAAGAAACAGUAAUACAGGCUUGGCUAUGGUUUAUUAAGGAAAUUACCGGGAAUGAUGGGAUCGCUUGAGGGACCCCAGCCCAGGGGCACAGAGGCAGUGAUGAGUGGUCAGCAAAAGCUUCCUGGAAGAGAGGUGUCUGCUAUGAAUCUAAAGACAUAAGCAGAAUUUGUGGUGCAAAGUGGGGAACAACUUUCUGGGCUGUGGGGAUACCGUGUGCAAACACAAAGAUAAGCUGUGAUGGCCAACCCUACUCCAUCUUGUGCCUCAACGCCAUUUUGUACCUGUGCUUGAACAAAGCACUUGCACUUGAACAAAGCAUCCAAAACCCCCACAUCCUGCUUGGCAGUAAACUUGCUGCAGUUGCAGGACACUUUGUAGCUCACCUAAUGUGUAUGAAACUUCCUUGUGCCCCCCACUAACCUGGCAUGGUUCUGCUGCUAUAAGAUUCUGCUUGGUCUCCCCUGAGCCCUCCGCAACUGAAAGCAUUAUUUAAAAGGAGAAAUCAAACUGCUUCCCAUUGCUGAGGAAACUUCUGGGCACUA